rnacentral:piRNA from 1 species
UCAAUUUAAACUUGAAGGGCA